CCGGCCUGACGUGGUUCCGGUGCCCCCUGGCAAGCCUUGCCAGUCCUCCUGCCUGAGCCACGGUCCCCGUCCCCGCGGGAGCUUCCUGACGCAAAAAACGCGGCCUGUUCCGGGGUCCUGGUUCCUUUCUAAAAGACCCACAUUUUUGCCGGUCCCUGGCGUUGAGAGAGCUGUGAGCUAAGAUUUCUGUGCGCGGGGACCAGGGUUCGAAGCUGCUAGAGCCGGAGACAUGGCUGCUGGUGUCUCAGAUGAGGCUGGUGAGGAACCCUCAAGAGACAGAAAACAGUUUCUGAAGGAAACGGCACGAUUCAAUUAUAUGGUUAUUCUUGUCAUCCUUGUGACCAGUGCUGUCAAAUAGCAAUAUGAUGCGAUCCACACAUGUAUUCAAAGAAUUACCAAUAGGCGCAGAAAAAGCCCCAGGAACUGAGAUAAAAUUUCAUAUGUUGUGUUCCGGAAAAUCACUUUGAGCAGAACCGAGGGUGCUUGCCAUCAAGAACUACUUUGGGGGAAGUUUCUGUUUACAGCCUUAGGCUGGGCGGCUUUCCGGAGUAGAGUCUGUGACUUUCUCGCUAAAUUGAUAUCAAAAUGAGUUUUGGCUCAAUUCAAGGUAUCUCUGCCCUUUGGGGAAGUGCAGCCGCUAUGGAUUCUUUAAAAUCAGCAACCUCUACAGCACCUACCCGGAAUCAUGCCAAGUUUACAGAGAGCUCCCUAACAAGGAACUGCUGGCCUGUAAAAUCCCAGCUGGCUCCUCACUGGGCCCCUGCAAAGCCUGAGAGCCCCAUGAGAUAGGGGGAGACUCAAAGCUCACCGGCCCUGCCCACCAUCUGACAAUUUCAGCGUCGCUUCCGGGAGUACAAGUGCCGCUCCUGUGCGCGGCCAGGGUUUGCAGGACCGUGUGACCUAACCGCGCCCGAGGCUUCCUCGCCAUCU